AUUGAACGCUGGCGGCAUGCUUUACGCAUGCAAGUCGAACGGUAGAGGGGGCAACCCCUUGAGGGUGGCGAACGGGUGAGUAAUGCAUCGGAACGUGCCCAGUCGUGGGGGAUAACGCAGCGAAAGCUGUGCUAAUACCGCAUACGAUCUCUGGAUGAAAGCGGGGGACCGAAAGGCCUCGCGCGAUUGGAGCGGCCGAUGUCAGAUUAGGUAGUUGGUGGGGUAAAGGCUCACCAAGCCAACGAUCUGUAGCUGGUCGGAGAGGACGACCAGCCACACUGGGACUGAGACACGGCCCAGACUCCUACGGGAGGCAGCAGUGGGGAAUUUUGGACAAUGGGCGCAAGCCUGAUCCAGCAAUGCCGCGUGCAGGAAGAAGGCCUUCGGGCUGUAAACUGCUUUUGUACGGAACGAAAAGGUCUGGGUUAAUACCCUGGGCACAUGACGGUACCGUAAGAAUAAGCACCGGCUAACUACGUGCCAGCAGCCGCCGUAA
rnacentral:rRNA from 1 species